rnacentral:lncRNA from 1 species
UUCGCGAAUGUGAGGCGGUGACCGCGUUUGCGAUGAAGGAUUUUUAAGUGCUGGGCAGAAUGUUUAAAAGACCCAUUUCCGCAAUUUUGGGUCCAAGUUCCUUCAUUUUUGGGCGAUUUUGAAGCUUUUUGAAAGGGAUUGAAGACGUAAUCAAGGGGGAAUAGUUGGAGGUAAGAUUUAUGAACUUAAUACUCAAUCCUAAUGUGAUUUAUACCUAAUUAAUCACGGAAUUUGUAGAAAUUAAGUCUAAAUAUUGAAGAACUAGGGCUUGUAAUUGGAGACCUAGAAUUUGGGAUUUGAGGGGCCGUAUGUGGUUGGAUUUUGGUGCUUUUGAUAUGAUGAACUUGGGGAGUGAUAAGGAGUCUAUUGAUGUAAUUUAUCGGAUUCUAAGACGUGGUCCCGAGGGUCGGGUUUGGCUAAUUUCAAGACUUGUGUUGUAAUUUGAUUUCUUUCGACUGGGCUUUGUUCUCUUAGCAUAUUUUGAUGGUUUUGCACUGAUUUUGGUUAGAUUUGGAGCAUCCGGAGGCCGAUUCGAGAGGCAAAGGCAUUGCGUUUGGACCGGAUAGAGGUGAGUAAUGAUUGUAAAUGUUGUCCUGAGGGUAUGAAACCCCGGAUUUCACAUCAUCGUGCUAUAUUGAGGUGACGCACACGCUAGAUGACGAGCGUGGAGUCGUACACUAUUGGGGAUUAUGACUUAGUCCAUCCCGAAUUACUGUUUUACUGCGUAAUUGAUUGAAAACUGUUUGCUAUCAUCAUGUUUUGGACUGAGUGCCAUAUUUGGGACUCGUGCCAACUGUUUUGGACCCUUAGAGGAUUUUUACUACUAUUCCUUACUGUUUUGAGUUUAUACUUGUACUCAGUCAUGCUAUAUUCUACUAUUUUUAUAACUCAGCCAUAUUUAUAUUGUUUUGACAUCUUAAAUGAUAUUUUGAGCUGAGCAUUUACAUUUUACUGUGCCCGAGUGGCUUUUAGAGAUUUCUGACUGAGUAGGGCCGAGGGCCUGUGUUGUGAGGUUAUUAUGGGAUCGGACUGCGCACCGUAGCGGUAUUGAGCUGAUUCAUGAUUAUGAGGCUGAGGGCCUGAGUUGUACGCCACAAGGUGGCUUGAUAUGUGGCCAAGGGCCUAUUGAUUAUGCCACGAGAUGGCUUGAUAUUGCGCUUGGGCCGUAAGGGGCCCCUCCCGGAAUCUAUACACCCCCAGUGAGUGAGGGUACCCAGUGUGAUAUGUGAUAUAGCCCGAGGGGCUGAUGUUGUUCCAUGUUAUUGCCCGAGGGGCUGAUUCUGUUGAUAUUGUGCCCGAGGGGCUGAUUUUAUGUGCUUACCUUUUCUCGCUGCUUUUCAUUCACUUGUUUAACUGUUAAAAGAUAUUUUAAAGAAGCUUAUACUGAACUAAGGUGUUUUAUGAGAUUUCACUGUUUUAUUGCUUUGCAAAGGUUUUUCACUGUCUCUUUGUAGCAUUUUGAUGUGUUUUCUUAUCGUCCAGCCUUCAUUUAUUUUUAUUACUCACUGAGUUGGCGUACUCACAUUACUCCAUGCACCCUGUGUGUAGAUACAGAAGCCUCGGGUCCUGCUAGUGAGGGUUGACUGCUUCCAACGGGCUAUUUUGGAGUUCACUAGGUAGCUGCUCGGCAUUCGUAGCCCAGUAUUUCUCCCUCUUAUCUUUAUUUUUCCUUGUACUAGAUUCUGUAAUAGACUGUGUAGUCCUUUCUCCAAACUCUUAGACUUAUGUUAGAUGCUCAUGACUGGUGACACCCCGAUGUCGGGCUGUGUUUAUUUCCGCAAAUGUUCUAUCUCACUUUUAUUUUGGGAUUUAUAGUAUGUUAAUAACUUAAAUUGAAUUUAUAUAUCUGUUUAAAUGGAUUGGGGAGUUGUGUCAGCUGGCCUUGUUUCAUAAUAGGCGUCAUCAUGACGGGGUCCGGAUUUAGGAUUGUGACACUUCCUUUUAAAACAGAAAGUAUGAUUUUCCCCUACUUAUAAAUUUAGUACAAAGGCAGUGGUCAAAGUCUCAAUUUUAUCUAUCACCAUAUUAGGGGUUUUCUCUUGAGAGAUGAUUUUGAGUUGAUUUUUCCUUAAAUAUUAAGGUGAGUUGCAUUUUUUGAGAAAAAUACUUACCCUAAUGAAUAUUUUUCUUGAAAAAUAAUUGCUUCUUGAGGAAAUUCUCGAUUUAGAUUUAGUUAAAGAGUUUAAUGGUGAGUUUGAUCUUUCUUUCAAAGAGGAAUCUUGAAGAGGCAAUAAUAGUAAUUGUUUUCCUGAGCUAUAAAAUUAUUUGGACACAGAGACAAUCAAACCCUUAUCUUGGCGUGGUAAACCCACGAUGGUAUGUGAUUUAAGGGUUUUCUAUCACAUGCAACAGGUUCUUUUGCAGCCAUGACGUGGUUUCCCUCUCUUGGCCUUGUAAGAAAUAGAGUUGAACCUCAAUUCUUUUCUUGUUAAGCCCUUGUUGGACUCUUAAAACAUAGACUUAUGGAUUACGCGCACUAUAUUUCAUGUGUGUGUGUUUAAGUAAAUAUUGCUUCUACCUUGGUGGAUAAGUCUUGAUGAUAGGAUAUUAUCAUUAUUUGGGGUUCUUACCUCUUUGUUUCAUUUCCAUCUGCAAAUUACUUGGUUACUCAGUGAAAAGCAUUAUAGUGAAAGAUGCAUUUUGCAUUAUUCACAUUAGAUUGAUAUUUUCGGAUCUACUAUCAAGCGGUCAUUGAGAAUAAGGUGAAACUGACGUGUACGUAUCUGAAAAAUAAGGAGUCACAACUAUUGUUGAUGGCGUAGAGCUACCAGUGACACCAACAAGUAACAUUGAUUUCCGAGGUCUUCAAUAUAUAUAUAUAUAUAUAUAUAUAAAGCAUUAGUGAUAUUAUUCACAUUCAUAGUGUAAAAGUAUGCGUUCGUGGUUUAUACUUGCUGGUGCACUUGAAAAGAGUGAAUCAACUCAUAUUUUUAUGAAGAUGCCAACUCAAUGUUUUCUAUCAUUUAAAAAAAAUUUGUUUUCUGUUGAGUGCAAUAAUGUCAUACGAUAUUGAAAGUUGGUUUAAUAUUACUUAGAUCCAGGUUGUACAUAGGUCCCCUUUUUUUCGUGACAAAUAUUCAUUCUCCUUUUUACAGUGUUUGAGUUUAUAAAGGGUUUUCUGCAUAUUUCUAUUUGUCCCAUUUGAAGCUAUUGAAAAGUAUAUAACAAGUAACAUGUAUCUGUUUAAUGGGAUCCCUUGGGAGAAUAAAAUGCUUUUACAGCUUACAUAUAGGCAUAUCUUCUCUCUUUUGAUAGUUCUCUUUACCCCACCUUUCAAGGAUGGAAGUAAUCAUCUUUCAGUUCCAGGUACUUAUCAAUCAGUUAAGGACUCCUCCUUAGACAGCAUCUUCGACAUUCAAUUCAGCAACAAUGAUAAAUCAAGUGCCAGCAGAUGUAUGUCAUUUGCAUAAGAAGUUUUUUUUUAGACUUUGCAAAGAUGCCAAUGUCAUACUUAUAACUGUUAUAUCAGUGUCUGUCAACCAAGCAAGGUAAAAGAUGAUCUCUCGGAGCUUGAAGAAAAAGGAUAGUUUUUUCUUAGAGAUUGAAUUGGUCACUGAAAGUUAGGAUUGCUGCAAAUAACUCAUCACUUACAAGUCACAAUGUAUCCUCUAGAACUUUGUUCCAGAAUGCAUGAAAAAAUUAUGAAGUGUUAACAUGUUGUGCACAUUAAAUCAACUUGAUAGUAGGGCUUCCUUUCUAUUGAUCCUAUAAAACACUU